UGUGUGCGUGUGAGUUGUGUAUAUACACACACAACUCCAAGGACAUAAUAUCAAUUUGUAAUGAAAAAAUAAUGGGGGUUGAUGAGAUAAACAAUGCGAUGGUCAUGAACCCAACUUUAUAAUAAAUAAAGUAGGAAGGGUGUGAUGACUUUGUGUUGUGAGUUAAGACACUCUGAUGAUGAACCCACAGUCUUUGGUGAAGUAAAACUAAAGGUGACUUGGAGUUGGUGGUGUAUACAGUAUAACUCCCAGGACAUAAAAUCAAUUUAUAUAGAGUCACUCAAACAGAAGGUGGAUGAUGACUUUGUUUUGAUGACAUAUCCAAUUCCAGGGUCAUGAUGAACCCACAAUUUGUGAUGAAUUAAAAAAAAGAAGGAUGACUUGGAUUUGAUGAGAUAUACAAUUCCUAUUUUUUCACAAUGUUUCUUCUCUGCCAUGCUUGUCAUCUAUCAAUGCUCGCUCCAUCCCUCUCUUGGUGCGCAUGUACCUCCACACACCUCUGGCGCCAACCCUCUUGCCUACGUAAGUAUUGUCACUCUCUGCACAACCAUUUUUUGUUCUCUCUUUUUUCUUGUUACUGAUUCAGAGGAAUAAAGUCUUUAGUGAGCAUCUUUUCUCUUUUUCUCUUAUUAUAUUGAUAAGAGGAAGUGUUAGAGAUUUGUUGUCUUCAAAUAUACAAUAUAUGCGUAUAACUUCCCUCAAAGUUUAAAACGAUGUUCGGGACUACCGUGACUGCUGUAUGUUUACUUAUUUAUGCCCGGGCUGGUGUAAUGUAACUUGGGUCUCCAGACUGACGGGUUAUAGUCACUGUACAGUACUGUAAAUGAGAUAUUAGUGGAUUUGAGUGGAAGAAAUACACCUACUAUACAAUACACACGCUUUAUACUUUUUUGUGAAAAUAUAACCCAGAAAACCCAAAAGGGUUUACGUGACAUCAAACUGACGUAUAAAGUAGCUUAUCACCAGGUGUAGAAAUUUUUAUUGGGUGAUACGGUAUUCAAAGAUUAAGAAUAAAUGUCAUUGAGAGACUUCCUACGAUUUAGAUGUUGUUCAGUGAUGUAUAAUCAGUUGAGCUUUAGAUGUGGUCAGGUGCUUUUCAAAGACUUUAUUCCUCAAAAUGUGAUCCAAAUGUUGAGUGGAAGAGGCGGGGUGUGAGGCACCAGCACACUCUGUAAACUGUGUCCCUCCCCCCCUCCCCCACCACUCUCUCCUCUAUGGUGCUAAGUGUUCUUGUCCGUGUUCAGGGUAAGUCACCACUAACUAUGUCAAGAGGUUAAAUACUCCACAACAUACUGAGGAGGCCAUGCUACACCUCCACAAUAAAUUGAGAGAAUUAUGCUUAGUCUCCACAACAAACUGAAGAGGUUAUACUAGACCUCCACAGCUAAAUAGGGUCAUAGUAGACUUUCACAACAAAUUACACAGGUUAUAACAACUAUACGGGUUAUCAGAAGCUCAUAUCAUCCUGUGCAAAGAUUUACACAUUAUCAGAACUAGGUUUAAGCUUCUCUGUGUUACCAUGUUUACAGGAACACCAAGUACUCUGCCUCAGUAGUGGGCAGCCAUCAGAUAGGGUAUAUGUGUUUAUCCUAACUUAUUACUGUAAUCUUGUUAUAAGUAUCAGUUACACCUUAUCAGUUUAUUGUUAACUUAACACUUAGUAUAAGUAAUAAAUACACCAUCUUAGUGCAUGAUGGUGUACCUCAUUAACUUAACACUGUGGGUUCAGUAAGAGAUACAGCAUCAGAGUACAGUACUUGGACCACAUUACUACAGCAUUACAAGUAACUGGUAAAGGCUACACACGGCCUCAGUUUCCCCCCAAAUUAUUAUAGUUUUAAUUAGGAUAACGUGCCUGUAGGUAUAUUAACUUCAUUACCAUUGUUUACAAGUGUUUCCCCCUCACUACCCCCCCCCCCACAGAGUUAUGGCUAAUCCUUCAAAAGUUUGUCCACAAAAAUCACAUCGCAAGUUUGUGUUUAGAGUUGUCAGAAUAUUACUUAACUGUGUUAAGUUUCAGGGCUCCCCCUGACACACUAACAUUGUUGACUUAUACUCUUCCCCAUCCCUCUUCCACCCCACCAAUGUGUCUGGUACGUAUGUCCUGUGGUGGUCUUGUUAUGAUGCAACCCGCAGUGCAGGCAGACUGUCACCACAUACAGCAGGAGACACUGUAAACAGCAAUGAGACUUACUAUAUAACAUAUACAAGAGAAUGACUCUGUCUAUUAUAAUGUCAACAAACUGACUGCGUGUAUGUCAUGGCCCGAGGAGACUGGCACCAUUUUGGCUACAGUUUUGGACAUUUAAUGUCAUAUAGGACUCUCAAGCUUGUGUCUCUUUCUCUCCAGUUUUCUUGGUGGAUGAAACUUGAUGCUUAGAAACAUCAUCAUCUGAUCAGUACUUGUUAGGCCAUCUUAUCAGCUGUUAUCGCAAUACACAAUGUUGUUGCUAGAAUUAAAAA